AUGCAGGUGGUGACGGGCGCCAUGGGCAGCCUGCUCCCCAAGCUGGGGCAGCUGCUCAUGGAGGAGUACAACCUGCAGAAGAACGCCAAGAAAGGCGUCGAGUCUCUCGUGCGAGAGAUGAAGAGCAUGCACGCUGCGCUCUGCAAAGUGGCGGAGGUGCCGCGCCAUCAGCUCGACGAGCAAGUCAAGCUCUGGGCUGACGAGGUCAGGGAUCUUUCCUACGACAUAGAAGACAUCGUUGACAAGUUCAUCGUGCGUGUCGAGGGCCCUAGUAAACCUGCUGCUGAUGGCAACAAGCUCACAGACCUUGUGGAGAAGAUGGCCAACUUGUUUAACAAGGGCAAGGCGCGCCGCCAGAUCGCUAGCGCCAUCAAGGAAAUCAACAAGGAUGUCCAAGAGGUGGCCAACAGGCGCGGCAGGUACACAGUUGAUAAUAUUUUGCCUAAGCCUACGGCUGUGACCACUAUCGAUCCUCGUCUCCGCGCUCUAUACACUGAAGUUACAGAGCUUGUUGGCAUCUAUGGGAAGAGGGAUCAAGAGCUUCUCAAGUUAUUAGCUUUGGGAGAUGAAGAUCCCUCCAACAAGAGACCAAAAAUAGUCUCUGUCGUUGGAUUCGGCGGAUUGGGCAAGACCACUCUGGUCAGAGCAGUAUAUGACAAGAUCAAAGGUGGUUUUGAUUCACGGGCUUUUGUUCCAAUUGGUCAGAAUCCUGACAUGAAGAAGAUUUUCAGGGACAUCCUUAUUGGUCUAGACAAAAAUACGUAUACUAAUAUCAAUCUCAUGGUACUAGAUGAAAAACAACUUAUCGAAGAAAUCCGGGACUUCCUUCACGACAAGAGGUAUCUCGUCGUAAUUGAUGAUAUAUGGGAUGGAAAACUAUGGGGAGAUAUCAAGUUGGCUUUCUCUAAUAUGAACAAUCUUGGCAGUCACUUAAUCACGACAACUCGCAUAUUUAGUGUGUCCAUAGCAUGUUGUCCUUCCACUCAUGAUUCCAUUUAUCAAAUGGAACCUCUCUCAGAUAGUGACUCUACAAGGCUCUUUUGUAAAAGAAUAUUUUCAAGUGAGAGUAAAUGUCCUAGUGAACUUAAGGAAGUGUCUAUAGAUAUUUUGAAGAAAUGUGGCGGUGUACCAUUAGCUAUCCUUACUAUAGCUAGUGUUCUCACUGUUGGUCAUCAGAUCAAGCCAAAAGUUGAAUGGCAAGUUCUGCUAGAUUCAAUUGGGCGUGGACUUACAGAAGAGGCAAGUAUGGAGGAAAUGCAGAGGAUACUGUCACUUAGCUACUAUGAUCUGCCUUUUGAUCUGAAGACUUGCCUAUUAUAUUUAUGUAUGUAUCCAGAAGAUCAUGAGAUUGACAAAAAAGAUCUGAUAUGGAAGUGGAUAUGCGAAAAUUUUGUGCAGCAUGGAAAACAUCAGACUAGCAUCUUUGAAGUUGGGGAAACUUUUUUUAACGAGCUCAUAAACAGAUACAUGAUUAUACCAAUAUUCAAUGGUUUUCGUGAAGUAAAAAGUUGCCGUGUGCAUGACAUGGUGCUUGAUAUGAUUCGUUCCUUGUCAGCUGAAGCAAAGUUUUUGACAAUAUUGGAAAGUAACAAGGAUGUGACUAGUUCUCACAGAAAUAUCCGUAGACUAUCUCUCCAGAAUACCGAGGAAGAUCAACAAGCUGCACCUCUCAUCAAUUCAAUGUGUAUAUCACAAGUGAGGUCCAUCAAUGUCUUUCCACCAGCUGUGACUAUCAUGCCUGCUAUAUCUAGCUUUGGUGUUUUACGUGUAUUGGACUUGUGUUGA
rnacentral:rRNA from 1 species